UACGUAGGUGGCAAGCGUUGUCCGGAUUUACUGGGCGUAAAGAGCGCGCAGGCGGUCGGAUUAGUCGCGUGUGAAAGCCCCCGGCUCAACUGGGGAGGGUCACGCGAUACUGUUCGACUCGAAGGCAGGAGAGGGAAGUGGAAUUCCCGGUGUAGUGGUGAAAUGCGUAGAUAUCGGAAGGAACAUCAGUGGCGAAAGCGGCUUCCUGGACCAGAACUGACGAUCAGGCUCGAAAGCGUGGGGAGCAAACAGG
rnacentral:rRNA from 1 species